rnacentral:rRNA from 1 species
CCUACGGGGGGCUGCAGUGGGGAAUAUUGGACAAUGGGGGCAACCCUGAUCCAGCCAUGCCGCGUGUGUGAAGAAGGCCCUCGGGUUGUAAAGCACUUUCAGUGAGGAAGAACGCCUGGUGGUUAAUACCCAUCAGGAAAGACAUCACUCACAGAAGAAGCACCGGCUAACUCCGUGCCAGCAGCCGCGGUAAUACGGAGGGUGCGAGCGUUAAUCGGAAUUACUGGGCGUAAAGCGCGCGUAGGUGGCUUGAUAAGCCGGUUGUGAAAGCCCCGGGCUCAACCUGGGAACGGCAUCCGGAACUGUCAAGCUAGAGUGCAGGAGAGGAAGGUAGAAUUCCCGGUGUAGCGGUGAAAUGUGUAGAGAUCGGGAGGAAUACCAGUGGCGAAGGCGGCCUUCUGGACUGACACUGACACUGAGGUGCGAAAGCGUGGGUAGCAAACAGGAUUAGAUACCCUAGUAGUC